rnacentral:rRNA from 1 species
UAUAUUUCGCAAUGGAGAGAACUCUGACGCAGCGACGCCGCGUGAGCGAUGAAGGUUUUCGGAUCGUAACGUUCUGUCCUUGGAGAAGAAGGCGGCCAUUUUUGGCCACUUGCCGGUACCCAAUGAGGAAGCCCCGGCAAACUACGUGUCAGUAGCCGCGGUAAUACGUAGGGGGCAAGCGUUGUCCGGAAUUAUUGGGCGUAAAGGGUGCGUAGGCGGCCUUUUAAGUCAGAUGUGAAAGACCACGGCUUAACCGUGGGGUUGCAUUUGAAACUGGAGGGCUUGAGUAUCGGAGAGGGUAGUGGAAUUCCCAGUGUAGCGGCGGAAUGCGUAGAUAUUGGGAGGAACACCAGUGGCGAAGGCGACUACCUGGACGAAAACUGACGCUGAGGCACGAAAGCUAGGGGAGCAAACA